rnacentral:rRNA from 1 species
CCUACGGGUGGCUGCAGUAGGGAAUCUUGCGCAAUGGGCGAAAGCCUGACGCAGCGACGCCGCGUGAGUGAUGAAGGCCUUCGGGUUGUAAAGCUCUGUGGGGAGAGAAGAAUAAGCAUGAGUUAAUACCUCAUGUGAUGACGGUAUCUCCUUAGCAAGCACCGGCUAACUCUGUGCCAGCAGCCGCGGUAAGACAGAGGGUGCAAACGUUGUUCGGAAUCACUGGGCGUAAAGCGCGUGUAGGCGGCUUGGCAAGUCGGGUGUGAAAUCCCAGGGCUCAACCCUGGAAGUGCAUUCGAAACUGCUUCGCUAGAGUACUGGAGAGGAAGGUGGAAUGCUUGGUGUAGAGGUGAAAUUCGUAGAUAUCAAGCGGAACACCGGUGGCGAAGGCGGCCUUCUGGACAGAUACUGACGCUGAGACGCGAAAGCGUGGGGAGCAA